rnacentral:ncRNA from 1 species
ACAUAAUUUUGGCAAACUUGUUGAAAAACAAGGACGCAAAACUACGAAUCUAAGGCUGGUCUCUUAGCUAUGAUAGUCGGGUUGCAGGA